rnacentral:misc_RNA from 1 species
AUAAUAAUAAUAAUAAUAAUAGAAGGCAUUAUCGCUAAUUCUUUCUUAUAUAAAAAACUUUUAACUGCUAUAACAUGCACAAUAUUGAUACAUCAAUAAGAUAAAAGCUAGCUGCCAAAAUCAGCUUGAAUUGGCUUAAGAACAGAAACUAAUAGGAUUUAUCCAUUUCAAACUAAUUGGAAUCCUUAAUCAGAUUUUAUAGAUAGCUAAAGAUAUGGAAAAUUAAAUAUAAUCCUUAAAAUCCAACUUCUUGAAUCUAAAUAGAACCAAGCAAAUGAAAACAUCCAAACU